UGAACAGCAGGCUGAAGGUGGAGGCGGCCAGCGCCAUGAAGAGCAGGCCCUCGCGCAGGAACCACUGGGACGGCGCCAGGCGGAAGGUGUGCGCCCCCGACAGCAGCACGUUGGCCAGCCCCUGAGCUGACCUUGCUAGCAGCAAAGCUGCAAGGAACCCACACCCAGGGCAGCACCUCACCUCUGGAGGGAGGAGAGGUUCACAGAAGUGGGGAGCUCACACCCAAACUGCUCGACCUCCCUCAGAAUGACUCAACCUGAGAAGGUUGAGGGCCGAGAAGAGCAGUCCCCCUUCAGAAAUUCAUUCUGAAGACACAGCUCUAACAAUACCCAAGUGAGGAUGGAGAAGAUUAUUCACUGUCAUUUGUAAAUGCAAAAUAUUGGAAGCAGCCCACAUGUCUGUAUACAGGAGAGAGACUGAUGUAUUACACUGCACUUCAGAAUGGAGUACUACACAGCCAUGAAAAAGAAUAAGGUUCAUUUCUGUGAUGGAAUGGGGUGAUUUCCAAGACAUAUUGUUAAGUUGAGGGGGAACAAGAGUAUAGGUAAUAUGUUACCUUUUGUAUAAUAAAGAAGAGGGAAUAAAAUAUCCACAUAUUUGCUUGUUUUUGCAAAAUGAAAGGUAAAGCAAGAAGCAAUCAAAUUGGUUACCUACAAGAGUGACUGGGAUUGAAAUUUAAGAAAGGAGGGGAUAACAUCCUUUGUAUUUUCCUUUUGGUAUAAUUUUUAAACUGUUGUUGCAUUCUAUAUUCAACAAAAAUUUAAAUCAACAACAAUGGAGAACAAAAGCUUUAAGAUGGAAUAUAGAGACAUCUCUGGUGGUCCAGUGGUUAAGACUCUGCACUUCCACCGCAGGGAGCAUGGGUUUGAUCCCUUGUUGGAGAACAAAGAUCCCACAUGCAUGCAGUGCGGCCAAAAAAGAAA